GCCACCGCUGUGCUGCCUCUUUCCCUCAGGGGGCGGCACUUUCCUCGGUCGUACUCUGCAGCAGAUAGGGCCCAGGGCGGGGAGACUCCUCUCCGUUUUCUCGCCUCUGCGUUUUCAGUGUUCCUUCCCCAGCAGGAUUCGCACGUCGAGGCCUGGCAGCAUUCAGGCCCCUCACACGAACUCCCCGUGGCUGUCAGGGGCUGCCAGGGCGGGCAGGAGGAGUCAAGAUCAUCUGUGGGAUUUCUUAAAUCCUCGCUAAAGCUCUUCAGUGAGAUACCAAGGGAGCCAGGAUAAUCAGCAGCCUCUGAAGUCUGUCAAGGGGUCAGGAGCACACCUGUUAUGACAUUCACCUCUACACAGAGAGUCAGUGAAGACAACUGAAUCCAUUGUACCAU